GAUGAACGCUGGCGGCGUGCUCAACACAUGCAAGUCGAACGGUGAAGCAGGAGCUUGCUCCUGUGGAUCAGUGGUGAACGGGUGAGUAACACGUGAGCAAUCUGCCCUGGACUCUGGGAUAAGCGUUGGAAACGGCGUCUAAUACCGGAUACGAGGCGUGGGGGCAUCCCCAACGCCUGGAAAGAACUUCGGUCCAGGAUGAGCUCGCGGCCUAUCAGGUAGUUGGUGAGGUAACGGCUCACCAAGCCUACGACGGGUAGCCGGCCGAGAGGGGGACCGGACACACUGGGACUGAGACACGGGCCAGACUCCUACGGGAGGCAGCAGUGGGGAAUAUUGCACAAUGGGCGCAAGCCUGAUGCAGCAACGCCGCGUGAGGGACGACGGCCUUCGGGUUGUAAACCUCUUUUAGCAGGGAAGAAGCGAAAGUGACGGUACCUGCAGAAAAAGCACCGGCUAACUACGUGCCAGCCGCCGCCGUAAAAC
rnacentral:rRNA from 1 species